GGAGAUAUGGCAGAGCGGUAAUGCAACGGACUCGAAAUCCGUCGAACCCGUGUUGAGCGGGUGCGCAGGUUCAAAUCCUGUUAUCUCCU
rnacentral:tRNA from 1 species